GAUGAACGCUGGCGGCGUGCUUAACACAUGCAAGUCGAACGAAGCACUUAAGAUUGCUUCUUCGGAUGACGUCUUUUGUGACUUAGUGGCGGACGGGUGAGUAACGCGUGGGUAACCUGCCUCACACAGGGGGAUAACAGUUAGAAAUGACUGCUAAUACCGCAUAACCCGAUAGGAUCGCAUGAUCCAGACGGAAAAGAUUUAUCGGUGUGAGAUGGACCCGCGUCUGAUUAGCUAGUUGGUGAGGUAACGGCCCACCAAGGCGACGAUCAGUAGCCGGCCUGAGGGGGUGAACGGCCACAUUGGGACUGAGACACGGCCCAAACUCCUACGGGAGGCAGCAGUGGGGAAUAUUGCACAAUGGGGGAAACCCUGAUGCAGCGACGCCGCGUGAGUGAAGAAGUAUUUCGGUAUGUAAAGCUCUAUCAGCAGGGAAGAAAAUGACGGUACCUGACUAAGAAGCCCCGGCUAACUACAUG
rnacentral:rRNA from 1 species